GCCCUUGUCGUUCAAUGGAUAGGACGCAAGUUUCCGGAACUUGAAAUAUAGGUUCGAUUCCUAUCAAGGGCG
rnacentral:tRNA from 1 species